GCCCGGAUGGCGGAACAGGCAGACGCAGGUGACUUAAAAUCUCUGGACCGCAAGGUCGUGUGGGUUCGACCCCCACUCCGGGUA
rnacentral:tRNA from 1 species